rnacentral:rRNA from 1 species
GUAGGGAAUCUUCCGCAAUGNACGAGAGUCUGACGGAGCAACGCCGCGUGAACGAUGAAGGCUUUCGGGUCGUAAAGUUCUGUUGUUAGGGAAGAACAAGUAUCGGAGUAACUGCCGGUACCUUGACGGUACCUAACCAGAAAGCCACGGCUAACUACGUGCCAGCAGCCGCGGUAAUACGUAGGUGGCAAGCGUUGUCCGGAAUUACUGGGCGUAAAGCGUGCGCAGGCGGUGAUGUAAGACAGAUGUGAAAUCCCCGGGCUCAACCUGGGAACUGCAUUUGUGACUGCAUCGCUGGAGUGCGGCAGAGGGGGAUGGAAUUCCGCGUGUAGCAGUGAAAUGCGUAGAUAUGCGGAGGAACACCGAUGGCGAAGGCAAUCCCCUGGGCCUGCACUGACGCUCAUGCACGAAAGCGUGGGGAGCAAACAGGAUUAGAUACCCUGGUAGUCCACGCCCUAAACGAUGUCAACUGGUUGGUUGGGUCUUCACUUGACUCAGUAACGAAGCUAACGCGUGAAGUUGACCGCCUGGGGAGUACGGCCGCAAGGUUG